GAUGAGGUAGCUGAGUGGUUAAGGUGAUAGACUGCUAAUCUAUUGUGCUCUACACGCAUGGGUUCAAACCCCCAUCCUCAUCA